AGUCGUUUAACAGUUUAUGACUUUGAUAAAUUAAAUUGGGCAUGGCCGGUUGCAAAUACGCCCGAAUGAACGCAUGGAUAUACAUAUCGACUUAUCACAGGGCGCCUACAAUGGCUCCGGAUCAUGGAUACUUUUAAGCUCAAGAUUGGCGCAGUCGAAAAGCCUUAAAGCCGUUUAUGGUCAAUUGAAAUGCAGACGCAUCGAAAUGUUAUAAAAUUCAAUAAUAUCAGCUUUCAGACUCAAAAUAAGACUCCAAUUCAGACUCUGACCCAUCCACAGCCAAAGAUAUCUCGCUGUGUGUGUGUGUGUGCGAGAGUUUAUUUUGAGGCCUCUUUUGUGUUAAAUCAAAAGGGAAAGGCAGACGCCGCAGUGGUAACAGCCGAAAGUAAAGAAGGUAGCACAGCAGCAACAUUUUGUGUGGCUUUGCGGCCGCAUCAAGUAUACGCACCAUAAAUCAGAGCAACGACCCAAACCGCACGCAACAUGCCCAAUGACGUAUUGAAUGCAUUAAACUCUGUCUUAAAUUGCGCUCCGGCCGUCUGCCAUAACUUGAAGUGGUGCUUAAAAUGAAUUACGCAUUGUCGGUGUUAUUAUAUACCAGUUCUGCUGUGGGAAUCUCUGUCUUAGCACACACACACACACUCACACAUACACAUAACUGGUCCGAUUGGCCGCACGUUAGAGCACUGAUUGCAGCCAGAGCAUAUAUAGUAUACAUAAUUUACAUAUUUAACUCUCUUUAUCGUUCGUCUCUUUCUAUUUACAGCGCGAUGCCAUUUCAUAUUUCAUUCCAUUCUAAUGGCAGUCAACUGAUGUCAGAUUCUGCCUUACAAUUAUGAGGAAUAUGCUUUAUUGAUUAUAAUAUAAAAACUCGAACUUAAGAUACCAACUGAAGUGAGAUGUCGUGAAGUGAGAUGUGGUCAGAUGAGGUCUCGGAAUCAAAUAUUUGACUAGUUGGCAGAUCCACUCGGAAACAUUUAACCCAACCGUUGCCCCUGGCGUUUGUUUAGGGGGUUAUCAAUCACGUAUUGUGCCUAGUGAACCGACAAAUUUCCAGUGGCAAAUUUCUUCCUCUAGACCCGCCCAGAGCAGGCAUAAAAACUUGCUGCAUAAUAAAUCACCGCUGGAAAUGACGACAGCAACUGUCUGUCGAUUCAGAAUGUAGCCUAGAAUCAAGAUGAGUCUGCGGCCAGCGACUGCUUGAACACGAAAAUACCUCUCUCAAGUGGAAUCUUUUUUGAUAAACCCAACCAACAACACUUGAAAGUCAGGAGCACACUUCCGUCGGCUAAGGAUUGCUGCUGCUCAUAUUGCAAAGUGGUUUUAGGUAACAAGACGUUUGCCACAGAAUUGAGUUGACCAGGCUGGGGCGCACUGACACACACUCGCCUAGACCCACUUGGCAUUAGCACCAUUAAUUUUGUAGGCUCUGCUCGGUGCCACCCAUUUCUGCCUUUCAGAGUGCUGAAUGCCUCUUGGUUUUUGCUUUGUUUUUGUCGUUCGCCGGGGAAAAAGACGACGAAAGGAAUGGCAAAGCAAAAGUGUUUCAGUUGCAGACAGCAGCAGAUAGUGGUCGGGCUGGCCACAUUUAUGGAGAAAGUGCCACAUCAAGUUGCAGCCGCAACAGAUUUCAACUUUUUAUCUAAAUCUGACUUCAGUAACAAGCUGAAGCCACAGCCAGAUAUUUCAGCUCAAAGUGGUUUGGUUGUUUGGCUCGAGUCUGAGCUGCUUUUAAUUUAUAUGGCCACACGCACACAGCCAUAAAUUGUCAGGCUUGCUCAGAGACCUGAGUUGACGUCGCAAUGUUGGCCUGAACCUGGUCUAGCUGACACGCAGCUCUGCUGAGGGCUUCCAGUGGAUCAGCCAGUAAAUAUGCAUUUAGUGAUAAACCAAGUGAAGCUACUUUUAUACAAUAAACCAAUAAAGAGGCUAUAAUUUGGGGCACGGAGGGUCGAAUAACCGGAUAACUGAAUCGCGCAUGGCAUGGACAACACAGCACAAGUACAAAAGCUUCUUUCGUCGCAUAAUUUCUCAUUGAGCUGAUGCGAAUGUAAUCCCCAUGUUGGACUAAGUGGAGCACUGGCUAAACAUAAGGACCACUUUCACUCGGUUGGCCAGCAGACACAACAACUGUGUCAUUUCUUGCGGCUCCCCUCCGCGCGCUUCGUAGUCUGCCACUGUGUGGGGCUUUGUAUUGUGUCCGUGUCCGCGUCCGUGUCUCCGGAAGCGCAUUGUCAGCUCCAUUAAUGUUGAUUAUACGUUAAUGUAAAGGAUCUCGCCCAACUGGUGGACGCGACGCGGCGCUUCGCGAGUGUCCCAAUGGGUUGGCGAAUGGCGGGUCGCCCAGAGGGGGUUAAAUGUGUUUCGGCGGCGGUGACCGCAGUGCAAUUUUCCAGCGCUUUGCAGCGAGCAGACUUAAAGUGGCGUGGAAAAGUUUUGUGCAAAGUUUUAAUUUGCAUUCGGGAUGUGCCGGCCAGGUAAUCGGAGUGAGCAGUGAGAGCCCCAGAGAUAAUUAUAAUGCCAUUAGCGUGUUUAGUUCACAAUCAGGCUUAACUGCUGAAGCCCGUGCCACAAGCCCCACGCCAAUUGGCUGCUCCUCUCAGAUCCUUUGCUGAAUUUUUCUUCUCCUUCUUCCAGCAGCUUCUCCGGCCAUGCCAACCGAACUCAAAUGGAAUGCUAAAUGUUUAUUUACACAGCAAGAACUGUCAACCGGUUGGGCGUAUAACUGGCCUCAACUAUUUUGUCGCAUUUUGCAUAUUGCAAAUUGCCGCGCGGAGCUGCCAGGCAACAAUUUAGCUGCUCCACUGCAAAGCAAUUUGAGGCCAGUGGAGUAUGACAGUUUUUUGCGGAUUGCUGCUGGCUGAUCCCUAAAGGUCAACUUAAGGACAUUGUAGGAGACUGCAAGCCAGCGAUAUGCGUCUGUAAAUAAAGCAAGCAGACGCAGUCAGCGAAGGGAAUAUUUCCUAGAACUCGAAACGACUGAAAACUGAAUAUAUAUCAGAAUUCUAUGUAAAUAAUUAAAAAUGCUUAUGUAUAUUAGCUGAAAAUGAUUUAUGGCAUUGUGAGGGAUGUGGGAAUAGUUAGCUGAAUAAUAAUAACUGCUGAAUUGAAUGAGUCGAAAAUAGAAGGUUAAGAGUUCACAUUCAAUCUUAAAUUGCAAGUCUUAAUAUAUAAGAACAGCAAUCCUCUGUAAAUACUCGAGACUGUGAGAACUAUAGUAAAAUGAAAACAUUUUAAUAAAAUAAUAUAAAUGAAAUACUUGAAUACUUUUAAGCUCCUCUGAGCACUUGAUACCUGCAAUUAGCAAACCAUUUAAUGAAAAUAUACUGAAACUGCAUAUUAUAUAAGGCAUGAGAGUCUCUGUGCCCAGUUGCCAGUGCCGACUCCUGCAGCCUUUGCGAUUGCUCAACUCUAAACAGAACUUUAAGUCAGCGCCUGUGCCAAGGAAUACAAAAUAGAUUCGUUAGUUUCUCGUGCGAAAUACGACCUUUGCCUAUAGCUCAAGGAUACUUGCUUGGGGCACUCCAUGCCAAGAAUAUACCCUGACUGACUCAGAGUUGGCAGAGAGGCGAAUUCAAUAACUCGUUCGCCACGCACCAGAAAUCUUCCAGUCGAUUUAAGCCCGUAUCUUUGUCAUUGCCAAAUUUCGUGGCCAAAGCCGCAGCUUACCUGCCAAUCCGGAUUGGGUGAGGCAGCGGCAUUUGCCAUAACGCAUCACUAAACGGGUUGAACAAAAAUAAAUUUCCCAAGAUGCAAAUGAAACUUGUCUGGUGAAACUCGGUGGUAUAUGACUGAUUUUUUUCUCUCUUUUAUUAUGAUUUUUUUUUUUUUUUUUUUUUUAAUGUUUUUUAUUAUUAUUUUCUUACCCCUCUGCGACGCUUGCACACCGUUAAAAUUAGCAAGUGAUGCGGCUGCCGGCCGACGAACUGUUGAUUCACCUCGGCUUUGCAAGCUCAGCGAUGAUGGGGUCUCGAUAUAACGAACGCGACCUUAUCAAUUUAGCUUUCCACAGGAAAGCCAUACGGCUGCCGGGCUACCUCGAUGGCAGUUCGUUUGUCUGGCUUGUUUUGGAACUUGGUUUUGGCCCAUUGGCUGCCAUUGCCAGUGCCAGUGGCUGUGGCUUGGUCUGAUCGGGCAGAGACGAUGCCGCACAUGGAUUCAUUCAACUUUACGCUAAUAUCACAUGCUUUGAUUACAGUAGCGUGAAAUUUUAUUGAUUGGCCAGCCAGCGUCGCUUGACUGAUGGGGCAGGCCACUAGGUGAAUAAGGACAAGCCGUUCGCUCAACAUGUAUUGAUGGCGAUGCUCUCCGUGGUCCUCAAGGCUAAGCUGAACGAUGUUAGCACAUCGAGCAAAGCUAUAUAAAUUCAGAGUUGAGAAAAACUAUUUAAAGCACCCCCCAUUGAAUCCUGUUUUAAACAAUUUGAAACAGAAAUUCAAUUGAUUUUUGGGUAUUUGAUUUGCGAAUCGAUUCUAUAAAGUCUACCCUCUGUCAAUCGAGCUUAUAUGUAAUUAUUUACUGCAAGAUUUGAUUCGAUGUGAUAAGCAAAAAAAAAAACCUACACAUUUUUCUUUGUUAUACAAAUUUUAAAAGCUAAGCUAAGGUAUGUAUAUAAGAUAGAUCUUUAAAGUUUUACAUUUCAUUACAUGCAUAAAUAUAAUUUAAAAUAUAAUAUUAUAUGCGGGAUAUAAUUUUGUCUAUAAUAGUCCUACGUAUGCCACUAGCACGUGCAUCAACCUCAGUGCGCCUCAUCCAAAAGAUCCAAGCAUUGAAUUUCACUCACAAUGUCCUUCACACUGAAUGC